rnacentral:rRNA from 1 species
AUCGGCUAACUCCGUGCCAGCAGCCGCGGUAAUACGGAGGAUCCAAGCGUUAUCCGGAAUCAUUGGGUUUAAAGGGUCCGUAGGCGGUUUAAUAAGUCAGUGGUGAAAGCCCAUCGCUCAACGGUGGAACGGCCAUUGAUACUGUUAAACUUGAAUUAUUAGGAAGUAACUAGAAUAUGUAGUGUAGCGGUGAAAUGCUUAGAGAUUACAUGGAAUACCAAUUGCGAAGGCAGGUUACUACUAAUGGAUUGACGCUGAUGGACGAAAGCGUGGGUAGCGAACAGGAUUAGAUACCCUGGUAGUCCACGCCGUAAACGAUGGAUACUAGCUGUUGGAAGCAAUUUCAGUGGCUAAGCGAAA